rnacentral:rRNA from 1 species
ACGCACGCUGGCGGCGUGCUUCACCCAUGCCAGUCGCACGGAAAGGCCUCUUUCGGGGGGUACUCGAGUGGCGAACGGGUGAGUAACACGUGAGUAACCUGCCCUUGACUUUGGGAUAACUUCAGGAAACUGGGGCUAAUACCGGAUAGGAGCUCCUGCUGCAUGGUGGGGGUUGGAAAGUUUCGGCGGUUGGGGAUGGACUCGCGGCUUAUCAGCUUGUUGGUGGGGUAGUGGCUUACCAAGGCUUUGACGGGUAGCCGGCCUGAGAGGGUGACCGGCCACAUUGGGACUGAGAUACGGCCCAGACUCCUACGGGAGGCAGCAGUGGGGAAUAUUGCACAAUGGGUGGAAGCCUGAUGCAGCAACGCCGUGUGCGGGAUGACGGCCUUCGGGUUGGAAACCGCUUUCGCUCAUGACGAAGCUUUGUGUGACGGUAGUGGGUAAAGAAGCACCGGCUAACUACGUG